rnacentral:rRNA from 1 species
GACGGAGGGGGCUAGCGUUGUUCGGAAUUACUGGGCGUAAAGCGCACGUAGGCGGAUUGAUAAGUUAAAAGUAAAAGCCCAGGGCUCAACCUUGGAACCGCUUUUAAUACUGUCAGUCUAGAGUAAGAUAGGGGGUAACGGAAUUCCUAGUGUAGAGGUGAAAUUCUUAGAUAUUAGGAGGAACACCGAGGGCGAAAGCAGUUACCUGGGUCUUAACUGACGCUAAUGUGCGAAAGCGUGGGGAGCAAACAGG